UACGAAGGGGGCUAGCGUUGCUCGGAAUCACUGGGCGUAAAGGGUGCGUAGGCGGGUUUUUAAGUCAGGGGUGAAAUCCUGGAGCUCAACUCCAGAACUGCCUUUGAUACUGAAGAUCUUGAGUCCGGGAGAGGUGAGUGGAACUGCGAGUGUAGAGGUGAAAUUCGUAGAUAUUCGCAAGAACACCAGUGGCGAAGGCGGCUCACUGGCCCGGUACUGACGCUGAGGCACGCAGGCCAGGGGAGCAAACGGG
rnacentral:rRNA from 1 species